CGUCUUUAAUCCCAGCACUCGGGAGUCAGCGGCAGGCGGGUCUCCGAGUUCGAGACCAGUCUGAUCUACCGAGUAAAUUUCCGGACAGCCAGAGCUAAAAAAACGAGAACUUGUCUCAAACCACCUCCAUUCUGCCUCCCCCCCCAAAAUAGUUGAGCUCUGCCAUAUGACCGUGGAUAGCACAGGCCCAGGCAACUGCUUCCCCAGACGGUGAAUGGGCUCUACCUAGCCUUUAGCCUGAGGGAUCACUGUCCUAUUUAAGUCCCCAACCCAACCCACGAUGACUUUACUUUCACAGGCCUGGCAAAAUAAGCCCAUUCCUUUAAUCGGUGGUCACAGGACAGGGUGGUGCUCUUGGAAGACUGAACCUCACCAGAAGAAGCCUAGUCACCUCUGGAUUCCAAGACCACACAAGAAGGCCUCAGAGAGGCAGGACGUAUAAGGUGGCCUCCCAGGAAAGAGAAACACACUGGAAUGGGUAGACUCACCUGUACAUCUAAAAUGGGCUCCGCCUUUCUGGGGUGUGCUCAAGGAUAGAUCACAGAAUUGAGGCCAGGAAGGAGUAGAUGAGAGCCUCAUGCCCCAGCAAGGCCGGAGUCCUGAAGGCGGUCCCUUGAAGGCCAUCAUCGCUUAUGGGCCCUCUGUGUUGGCAGCAUGGAGGUCCUGGCAUUCACAGACAUCCAUGGAAACCAGAAAUAUUAAUCAUGCAAGGGUUCCUCAGUAGGGGAGGUAAAUACAAUACCUGUAUUCCAUGCGGAAAGCUGAGAGUGGAUAUGGCUAACUACCAGGUGAGCUUUUCGCUCACUACCUGUGCAGGAAGACCUUACCACCUUUUGCUGUAGAGACAAACCUCACUCAAAUUCCCCAGAAUGUUUAUUUCAGACUCUUCCUCCCUAUCUCCCAGUUAACAGAAUCUACCCUUAGGGGAGACGUCACGUGUACUGCUGAUCUCAUGCUAUCUGUCA